rnacentral:rRNA from 1 species
CACGUAGGGGGCGAGCGUUGUUCGGAAUCAUUGGGCGUAAAGGGUGCGCAGGCGGCCGACCGAGUCUGGUGUGAAAUACCCCGGCCCAACCGGGGGGGCGCGCUGGAAACUGGUCGGCUGGAGUGCAGGAGGGGGAGUCGGAAUUCCAGGUGUAGGGGUGAAAUCUGUAGAUAUCUGGAAGAACACCGGUGGCGAAGGCGGACUCCUGGCCAUGCACUGACGCUGAGGCACGAAGGCGUGGGGAGCAAACAGGUUUAGAUACC